AGUGAACGCUGGCGGUAGGCCUAUCACAUGCAAGUCGAACGGCAGCACAGUAAGAGCUUGCUCUUACGGGUGGCGAGUGGCGGACGGGUGAGGAAUACAUCGGAAUCUACUUUUUCGUGGGGGAUAACGUAGGGAAACUUAUGCUAAUACCGCAUACGACCUACGGGUGAAAGCAGGGGAUCUUCGGACCUUGCGCGAUUGAAUGAGCCGAUGUCGGGUUAGCUAGUUGGCGGGGUAAAGGCCCACCAAGGCGACGAUCCGUAGCUGGUCUGAGAGGAUGGUAAGCGACACUGGAACGGGACCACGGUCCAGACUCCUACGGGAGGCAGCAGUGGGGAAUAUUGGACAAUGGGCGCAAGCCUGAUCCAGCCAUACCGCGUGGGUGAAGAAGGCCUUCGGGUUGUAAAGCCCUUUUGUUGGGAAAGAAAAGCAGCAGGUUAAUACCCCGCUGUUCUGACGGUACCCAAAGAAUAAGCACCGGCUAACUUCGUG
rnacentral:rRNA from 1 species